rnacentral:rRNA from 1 species
AGUCGAGCGAACGGACGAGGAGCUUGCUCCUCUGACGUUAGCGGCGGACGGGUGAGUAACACGUGGAUAACCUACCUACAAGACUGGGAUAACUUCGGGAAACCGGAGCUAAUACCGGAUAAUAUAUUGAACCGCAUGGUUCAAUAGUGAAAGACGGUUUUGCUGUCACUUAUAGAUGGAUCCGCGCCGCAUUAGCUAGUUGGUAAGGUAACGGCUUACCAAGGCAACGAUGCGUAGCCGACCUGAGAGGGUGAUCGGCCACACUGGAACUGAGACACGGUCCAGACUCCUACGGGAGGCAGCAGUAGGGAAUCUUCCGCAAUGGGCGAAAGCCUGACGGAGCAACGCCGCGUGAGUGAUGAAGGUCUUCGGAUCGUAAAACUCUGCUAUUAGGGAAGAACAAAUGUGUAAGUAACUAUGCACGUCUUGACGGUACCUAAUCAGAAAGCCACGGCUAACUACGUGCCAGCAGCCGCGGUAAUACGUAGGUGGCAAGCGUUAUCCGGAAUUAUUGGGCGUAAAGCGCGCGUAGGCGGUUUUUUAAGUCUGAUGUGAAAGCCCACGGCUCAACCGUGGAGGGUCAUUGGAAACUGGAAAACUUGAGUGCAGAAGAGGAAAGUGGAAUUCCAUGUGUAGCGGUGAAAUGCGCAGAGAUAUGGAGGAACACCAGUGGCGAAGGCGACUUUCUGGUCUGUAACUGACGCUGAUGUGCGAAAGCGUGGGGAUCAAAC